rnacentral:piRNA from 2 species
UGGACAGAGAGAAGCAAUCAGUGGCC